rnacentral:rRNA from 1 species
AAGCGUGUGAGCCAUGUGCCGAGAAAAGCUGCUAUUGUGUAAUGCGUGCCCGUACCGUAAACCGACACAGGUGGAUGAGGAGAGAAUCCUAAGGCCGACGGAAGAAGCAUUGUUAAGGAAUUCGGCAAAAUGACCCCGUAACUUCGGGAGAAGGGGUGCCUGCGAGAGCAGGCCGCAGAGAAUAGGCUCAAGCAACUGUUUAGCAAAAACACAGGUCUAUGCGAAACCGAAAGGUGAAGUAUAUGGGCUGACGCCUGCCCGGUGCUGGAAGGUUAAGAGGAGAGGUUAGCUUCGGCGAAGCUUUGAAUUUAAGCCCCAGUAAACGGCGGCCGUAACUAUAACGGUCCUAAGGUAGCGAAAUUCCUUGUCGGGUAAGUUCCGACCCGCACGAAAGGCGUAAUGAUUUGAGCACUGUCUCGACAAUGCAUCCGGUGAAAUUGAAGUACCAGUGAAGAUGCUGGUUACCCGCGCCAGGACGGAAAGACCCCAUGGAGCUUUACUCCAGUUUGAUACUGGGAUUCGGUACUGCAUGUACAGGAUAGGUGGGAGACGAAGAAGGAUGGACGCCAGUCUGUCCGGAGUCGCUGUUGGGAUACCACCCCUGUAGUACUGGGUUUCUAACCAGUUGCCAUGAACUGGCAAUGGGACAAUGUCAGGCGGGGAGUUUGACUGGGGCGGUCGCCUCCGAAAGGGUAUCGGAGGCGCUCAAAGGUUCCCUCAGAAUGGUUGGAAACCAUUUGAAGAGUGCAAAGGCAGAAGGGAGCUUGACUGCGACACCGACGGGUGGAGCAGGUACGAAAGUAGGACUUAGUGAUCCGGUGGUAUAAAGUGGGAUUGCCAUCGCUCAACGGAUAAAAGCUACCCUGGGGAUAACAGGCUUAUCACUCCCAAGAGUUCACAUCGACGGAGUGGUUUGGCACCUCGAUGUCGGCUCAUCGCAUCCUGGGGCUGUAGCAGGUCCCAAGGGUUGGGCUGUUCGCCCAUUAAAGCGGUACGCGAGCUGGGUUCAGAACGUCGUGAGACAGUUCGGUCCCUAUCCGGCGCGGGCGGAGGAUAUUUGAGAGGAGCUGUCCUUAGUACGAGAGGACCGGGAUGGACGGACCACUGGUGUAUCUGUUGUCGACCAACGGCAUGGCAGAGUAGCCAAGUCUGGAAGGGAUAAACGCUGAAGGCAUCUAAGCGUGAAGCCCCCCUCAAGAUGAGAUAUCCCUCCUUCGGGAGUAAGACCCCUUGAAGACUACAAGGUAGAUAGGGCAGAGGUGGAAGCAUGGCAACAUGUGGAGCUGACUGUUACUAAUAGGUCGAGGGCUUAAUCUG